rnacentral:misc_RNA from 1 species
GAGAGAGAGAGAGAGAGAGGGGUUGAAGGAAAUGAAGUCUCUCUGUUUCCUUGUAGAGGGGGAAAGCAUGUAAAGGGCUGGCUUUGGUUUUUUAUAUUAGAGAAAGCUUGAGUCUUUUGAAGUCUUAGAAGGUGGAAGAGUGUGAGCUAGGUAUGCAGUGUAAAGAUAGAGCAAGUUCACGAGCUGUUUUUCUGCAACUCUUACAGAACCCAUUUGUGUUGGUGGGUGGGUGGGUGAGGUUUUCGCAAGCUUAGACCCAUCUUUAUUCUCUUAGACCCAUCUUUAGUCUCUUUCUUCGCCAUCCAAUUAAUCCUGUGGUACACGUGCCCCUUAUUCAUCAACCUACUCUCCCUUCGAUCUCUCUCUAUCUGGACUUCCUCUGAUGAUGAUGACGAUAAUGUGAGCGAUUGUCUUGAGCUUUUUAUUUUGGUGGGUUUUGCCUUUUCUUUUUAGUAGAGGUUGAGAAUAUAGAGAAUGGAUCGAUCUGCAGUCACCGUAGGUCCAAGUAUGGAUAUGCCGAUUAUGCACGAUAGUGAUCGUUACGAACUGGUGCGAGAUAUUGGGUCUGGGAAUUUUGG